CAGCCUCAGCAAGGUGUUAUCCUUCUCCCAUCACCAAAACAAAUCCCUGUGUUUUGAUCUGUGUUUAGAUAGAGGGGCCUGUGUUUAUACAGAGGAAACAAGAAAUAAAAUGUUUUAGGAGUUCCAUCGUGGCUCAGCGGGUUAAGAACCCGACUAGUAUCCAUGAAGACGUGGGUUGGAUCCCUGGCCUCGCUCAGUGGGUUAAAGGAUCCAGCACUGCCGAAAGCUGCUGUGGUGUAGGUCACAGAUGCAGCUCAGAUCUGGUGUUGCUGUGGAUGUGGUGUAGGCCAGCAGCUGCAACUCCAAUUCAGUCCCUAGCCUGGGAACUUCCAUAUGCCACAGGUGCAGCCAUAAAAAGGAGGAAAAAAAAAAAAAAAACAUUUUAAAAGAAACGGUACCAAUCUAAUUCUUUAGAGAUUAUAAUUUGUACACAGUUUCAUAUAUUUGUAAUUAUCAAUAUAAAGUGUGUAAAGGUGUAAUAAAAUCUUUAAACGAGUUCAAUAACAGAGUGAAACAGAAAUAUUAAAACUUAAAUAAGGAAAAAAGAUAAAAAAAGGAUAUAGUUUAGCAGGUGGUGGGUUCUAGGUUACCCUUAUGAACCACUCACUGAAGUCCACUUAGAAAGAAUAAUAGUGCUGUAUAACCAACAGCAGUUGAAUUAGUUUACACCCCUCAGGACAGAAGUCUGUGGCCUAAAGAAAAAAACUAGAAGAGGCAGGUGCCAAUAAAAAACAAAAAAGGUAAGAGAUAUUAGGGGCUCUGCCCACCAAGAUGGGGGUGCCACACUUCAGAGCCAAAUACAGAUGCUUGCUAACACGCUUCUUGAGUCAACAAUUAUGGAAGAAACACUUCUAUUAAUGUCAGUGCAGUUUUUGUUCAGAGGAUAGAGGGACUGGAGGAGAGGGAACUUGCUAAACAUGCAUUGAUUUGAAUUCUGUAAUUUGCCAGGCAUUGUGCCAAGUGAUUUUUCCUGCCUACUCAUUUAACUGUUCAGAAUAUGCCCAUAAAGUAAAUAUUAUAAACCCAUUUUGCAGAUGAGAAAGCUGAAGCGUAGGUUUUAAGCACUUUUCCCCAAGACCAAACAAUUAGUAAGUGACAGAGCCAGACCGGCCUAUCUGACUCCAGGGUCAGUGUUCUUUUUCACAGUGACUAAGGCUAUCCAUCUUUCUUUUUGUCUGAGUGAGGGCAAAUUAUUGCCAAAAUUUUAAUUUGCAUCACAGUUUUCAUUGCCAAAGAAGUAAAGUGUUUUCUAUACAUGAUGCCACAAGUGUUAGAUACAGUAUUGAGUGAGCUUAGGAACAAGUAUAAUUCUUGUAGUUUCCAAUAUUAACACCUAUGGUUAGAAAUGUAGACUGUAUUUCUGAAUUGAACUGAAUUACACAGAAAUUGAAUUUAACAGGCCUGACUUACUGACUUUUGAAUACAAAGAAUUUGGAGUUAAAGAAUUAAAAUUUUCCAGAGUCCCCUUGUGACUCAGUGGGUUAAGGAGCAGUGAGUCACUGCUGUGGCUCUGGUUACUGCAGUGGUAUGGGUUCAAUCCUUGGCCCAGUGAAUUUCCACAUACCACAGAUAUGGCCAAAAAAAUAAAAUAAAAUAAGAAAGGGUUAAGAAUUUUAACUUUGUAUGGAGUUCCUGCUGUGGUGCAAUGGGAUCAGUGGCAUCUUGGGAGCACUGGGUCGCAGGUUCGAUCUCCAGCAUAGCUUAGUGGGUUAAGGAUCCAGUGUUGCCCCAGCUAUGGCUUAGGUCGUGACUGCAGCUCAGAUCUGAUCCCUGGCCCAAGAACUCCAUAUGCCGUUGGGCAGCCAAAAAUAACCCCCCAAAAAUAAUAAUUUUGUAAAUUAAAGAAACUAUUUGUAGAGGAAUAAAUAGCUAAGGCUGAUAUCUUUCCUUGAAAAGAGAUAAAGCAAACACAAAAGAGAGAGUGCCAUUUCCAGACAGAGACUGAGCCGGGAAGGAAACCUAAGCACCAGGUCUUUAAGGAUUCUUUCUGCUCUAUGACCUCCCUCCAGAGGAUGAUCUGGAGGGCUCUCUGCUCUGAGCAAAUCUCUUUGGAGACAGUUCGGCAUCGUCCUGCUUGGCUUCUUCCCUUUCUAAAACUGUCUCAGCUUGUCUUUGAAAUAUUUGUGACAUCAAAAUGCAAUUCUGUCUUUUCUCUUGCCUUUUCUCAGAACAGCAGUCCAUAAUUACUCCCUCUACCACCACCCAUAAACCCCUCGAAUAGACGUCUGCAUGUAUAAUAUAUCAUGCAUGUGUGCAACAGAAUGUGUCUUUUUUUGCAUAGAGAAAGCCUUGGAAAUCUGACAAAGUCUUCAAGUUUCUCUAACAGAAUUUUAAGCACAGUGUCUUUUUUUCUUCUGCAUUUAAUACUGACCCCAGGCAUCUUCUGUGGCUUUAAAGUCUACAAAAUUAUUAUUCAAUUUACAUUCUUAGGGUUACAUGAAUUCCAGUUCCUCACAGGCAUUGUGGUUGGCUUGUCCUGGGAUAUUCAAGUUGCCUUAUCCCUAUUUCUCUUACACACUCAGUCAAGAUUUUAAAGGUCAUUUUAAAAAGCCUUUGGGAUGUCAUGUUUCAUGGAGUGCCUCGACCAUGGUCUGGAGUUCUAAAGAGGUUGCACAGUCACCUGCAUCGCUGACAGAAGCUACUUUGCUUAGGGUGUCGCGCCACUUGGGAAAGCUCCAGGUAGAGGAGAAUUUAUCACAAUAGGAAUAUAGUAUGAAGUUAUUUGCAAAGAAAUAUAUUAACCAGAUAAAUACCCAGCGUGGAUAUCAGGGUGGAUUAGCUCUGCAUGCCAUUUAAAGAAAGAAAACUACUUUGUAAUAGUAAAAUUAUUUUUCUAUCUCUGAUCUCACCUGCCGCAUUUCCCUUCCAUUCUGCUGAUAAUUUCAUACACUUUUAUGAAGAGCAAUUCCAGACCCCAUUAUUGUUCCAAGCUCUGACAUAAAUGAAAAACUGCCAUAACCUUCCCUCCUGCUCAUAAAGUCCUCAAAGAGGUGGAUCAGACCAAAGAAUCUUCUGACUUAAGGUAAAUUUUUUAUUCUUUUACAAAAAUCCCCCAGGCAGGAAUAAGGAAGAAGUAUUUCAAACCCAAUUCCAAAUAUUUCACUUGGAAUCACUCCCUGAGAAGAAUGGAGCAGCUGCCAAUUAGCAUAUCUGUAGAUCUUCUGAACAAACUCAGUAAUAUUUUCAUUAAUAAGUUGACAGAACAGAGCCCCCAGCUGUCACCUGGGUACAUAUCCCAACAGGAGAAUAAAAAAGUUAAAUAAAAUAUAAAAAGGUCAGAUGAUUAUUAUUUCUUUAAAUACCUUUGUAAGGCAUGGAGAGACAAGGUCUACGAAGUCCAACUGGUCUACCCCAGCUCAUUCAUGUUACAGGUGAAGAAACUAAGGCAGAGGAAGUUAGGAGAGCUGUACGAGGUCAGCUAUCUACUUAGUGCCAGAGCCAGCACUGAUGCCCAGGUAUCCUGACCCUGAUCUAGUGUUCCUCUCACUAUAAAACUGAUAAAACAUAAUCUCUAAUGUGCUGUUUAACUAUUUCCAUAGCUUAGAGAGACGACCUGGCAAUUUGUUUUGUUUUUCUCAAAAGCUUAAUUGCACCUAGUAAUCACCUAUCGCUGUCCUUUCAGAUACCCACUGAAACAACUGUAACAUCGCUAAAAUACAAAUGAUAUGGUUCCAUUUCCUUUUUUUCAUUUUUACCCAAAAUUUGUUAUUGGGAUGGUUUUCUCCUCAUGUGAUUCAGGGUGCUCUUUUAUUCUAGCGACUUUUACUCUAGGUAGUCACAAAAUGGUCUGCUAUCUAGAGCUGCCCAGGGCUCAUUGUGUGGCCAUGGAUCCCCACUUCUAAAAUGCCUGUGACAGGGAGUUCCCAUCGUGGCUCAGUGGUCAACGAACCCCAUUAGUAUCCAUGAGGAGGUGUGAUCCAUCCCUGGCCUUGCUCCGUGGGUUAAGGAUCCAGCGUUGCCAUGAGCUGUGGUGUAGGUCACAGACGUGGCUCAGAUCCCAAGUUUCUGUGGCUGUGGUGUAGGCCAGCAGCUACAGCUCCGAUUUGACCCCUAGCCUGGGAACUCCAUAUGCUGCAGGUGUGGCC
rnacentral:lncRNA from 1 species